rnacentral:rRNA from 1 species
AGAAUCAACGCUGGCGGCGUGCCUAACACAUGCAAGUCGCACGAGAAAGUGGAGCAAUCCAUGAGUAAAGUGGCGCACGGGUGAGUAACACGUGAAUGAUCUACCUCCGAGUGGGGAAUAACUGAGAGAAAUCUUAGCUAAUACCGCAUAACACUUACGAGUCAAAGCAGCAAUGCGCUUGGAGAGGAGUUCGCGGCCGAUUAGCUAGUUGGCGGGUAAUGGCCCACCAAGGCGAUGAUCGGUAUCCGGCCUGAGAGGGCGCACGGACACACUGGAACUGAAACACGGUCCAGACUCCUACGGGAGGCAGCAGUGGGGAAUUUUGCGCAAUGGGGGAAACCCUGACGCAGCAACGCCGCGUGGAGGAUGAAAUAUCUUGGUAUGUAAACUCCUUUCGAUGGGGAAGAUUAUGACGGUACCAUAGAAGAAGCCCGGCUAACUUCGCGCCAGCAGCCGCGGUAA